rnacentral:rRNA from 1 species
GGUGGAGUAAUAGCCUACCAAGGCAAUGAUCUAUAGCUGAUCUGAAAGGAUGAUCAGCCACACUGGAACUGAGAUACGGUCCAGACUCCUACGGGAGGCAGCAGUGGGGAAUAUUGGACAAUGGGCGAAAGCCUGAUCCAGCCAUGCCGCAUGAGUGAAGAAGGCCUUUGGGUUGUAAAGCUCUUUUAGUGAGGAAGAUAAUGACGGUACUCACAGAAGAAGUCCUGGCUAACUCCGUGCCAGCAGCCGCGGUAAUACGGAGAGGGCUAGCGUUAUUCGGAAUUAUUGGGCGUAAAGGGCGCGUAGGCUGAUUAAUAAGUUAAAAGUGAAAUCCCGAGGCUUAACCUUGGAAUUGCUUUUAAAACUAUUAAUCUAGAGAUUGAAAGAGGAUAGAGGAAUUCCUGAUGUAGAGGUAAAAUUCGUAAAUAUUAGGAGGAACACCAGUGGCGAAGGCGUCUAUCUGGUUCAAAUCUGACGCUGAAGCGCGAAGGCGUGGGGAGCAAACAGGAUUAGAUACCCUGGUACUCCACGCUGUAAACGAUGAAUGUUAAAUAUGGGAAGUUUACUUU